rnacentral:rRNA from 1 species
GUUAGUAACACGUGGGUGAUCUGCCCUGCACUUCGGGAUAAGCCUGGGAAACUGGGUCUAAUACCGGAUAGGAGCCAUUUUUAGUGUGAUGGUUGGAAAGUUUUUCGGUGUAGGAUGAGCUCGCGGCCUAUCAGCUUGUUGGUGGGGUAAUGGCCUACCAAGGCGGCGACGGGUAGCCGGCCUGAGAGGGUGGACGGCCACAUUGGGACUGAGAUACGGCCCAG